ACGGGGCCGCACAAGCGGUGGAGCAUGUGGUUUAAUUCGAUGAUACGCGUAGGAACCUUACCUGGGCUCAAAUGUAUGUUGACGUAUUCUGAAAGGGAUACUUCUUCGGACAAUAUACAAGGUGCUGCAUGGUUGUCGUCAGCUCGUGCCGUGAGGUGUCGGGUUAAGUCCCAUAACGAGCGCAACCCCUAUCAUUAGUUGCCAUCAGGUCAAGCUGGGGACUCUAAUGAAACUGCCUACGCAAGUAGUGAGGAAGGCGGGGAUGACGUCAAAGUCAGCACGGCCCUUACGUCCAGGGCUACACACGUGCUACAAUGGCCGAUACAGAGGGCAGCUACCUGGUGACAGGAUGCAAAUCUCCAAAGUCGGUCUCAGUUCGGAUCGGAGUCUGCAACCCGACUCCGUGAAGUUGGAUUCGCUAGUAAUCGCGCAUCAGCCAUGGCGCGGUGAAUACGUUCCCGGGCCUU
rnacentral:rRNA from 1 species